rnacentral:rRNA from 1 species
GACGAACGCUGGCGGCGUGCCUAAUACAUGCCAGUUGAGCGAUGAAGAUUGGUGCUUGCACCAAUUUGAAGAGCAGCGAACGGGUGAGUAACGCGUGGGGAAUCUGCCUUUGAGCGGGGGACAACAUUUGGAAACGAAUGCUAAUACCGCAUAACAACUUUAAACAUAAGUUUUAAGUUUGAAAGAUGCAAUUGCAUCACUCAAAGAUGAUCCCGCGUUGUAUUAGCUAGUUGGUGAGGUAAAGGCUCACCAAGGCGAUGAUACAUAGCCGACCUGAGAGGGUGAUCGGCCACAUUGGGACUGAGACACGGCCCAAACGCCUACGGGAGGCAGCAGUAGGGAAUCUUCGGCAAUGGACGAAAGUCUGACCGAGCAACGCCGCGUGAGUGAAGAAGGUUUUCGGAUCGUAAAACUCUGUUGGUAGAGAAGAACGUUGGUGAGAGUGGAAAGCUCAUCAAGUGACGGUAACUACCCAGAAAGGGACGGCUAACUACGUG